rnacentral:lncRNA from 1 species
AAAAAAAAAACGACAGAAACGAAGAGGAGAGAGAAAGAGGAAAGAGAAAAAGUAAUAAGGGUAUUUUGGUCAGUUUGCUGAAAAAGCGGACCAAAUCUGCAAAAACGAAAAAAGUGACCCAGUUUUGCAAAAGCCCAAAAUAAGUGGAUUUUAUAUGAAAAAAAGCCUUGUUUUUCUUUCAAUCAAACAAUUGUGAUAGAAAAUUAUUUUUUUCUACAAAUUAAAUACUAAAUAGCGUAAAAUUUAUUAUUAUUAUUUUUUUACAGUUUUAUAUGAAACCAAAGAGCCCCUUAAUCGAAAAGAUUUGUUGGAGUAGAUGUUUAUGUACAUCAACAGUGUCUAAAAAAAAGGAUAAAAUUUAAAUACCACUUCUGUGGCUUUGCACUUUCGUAUUUUAGUACCAUGUGGUCUAAAACGUAUCAACUUAGUACCUUAUAAUUUUAUUUUUCUCUUUUCAUUAGCCUUUGUUAAUUUCUGAUUAAAUCGUAUACAAAAAAAACUUCAGAUACUCCGCCUAUAUUUUAUCGAAUAUUCAUUUUAGUAUUCUUUAGUUUUAACUGUCAUUGAUUUAAUAAAAAAAAUAAUAAAGAAAAUAACAAAAAAAAAAUAAAACUAUAAAAUAUAAAAAUAAUAUAUUUUAAACUAUAUAAUAUUAAAAUAAAAAAGUACGAAAUCACAUAAAGUGAUAUUUGAAGUUUUUUUUAAAAUAAUAAAU